AGAGAAGAACAGCCAAAGAGAGAACAGCCAUCAGUAUGUACAUGGACAAGAGUGAACCAGGGCAAGACUAGAUUGCAGGGAUUUUGUUUGAUGUACCAUGAGCUCAACAUUGGGAUUGGAAAGAAGACAGUUGUAAAUGUUUACAUCUAACAGUAGACACAGCUGAGUGAAGAAUAAUUUCCAUGAAGAGUCACUAAAUAACAUUUCAUAAGGAGAACUGGAGUGAAAUAGGAUUGCAGUAAAAUAUGGACUCUGAGGGAGAAAUUUUGUCUAUGAGAAGAUUGCAAAGGUGACUUUGAGGAUCAAAAUAAACUGGGCUGAGCAUUUCUUAAAGUUCCGAGGGAAUCUCAGCAUAAUUGAAUGCAUGGAGUACAAAAGAGAGUUGAGCAUAUGACAAAAUGUGUUAAAAAGGAAAAUGAAGGGACAAAAUAAGAAGCUUAAACUACAAAACCAAAACUAUAUCAGAGCCAAGUCAAACAAAGAAGAAAAGGUUGCAGACAUUUGAAGAAUCACUGGCAGAUCUACUUUGAAUAUAUUAUCACUACGAAAGGAAUAGAAAAUUCAUCCAUUCUGAAACCUGAAUAUACUCACUAGAAAUAAAAGGACUUGGAGCUGAUGAUGGAAUGGAUUACUCAGAAAAAGUCUCCACUUAUAUAAGAAUUUAAUUAAUUGAAAGAAAGCAUGGGCAUACUUAUAAUCUAUAUUUAUUGCUAAAAUAUACUUUAGAAGAAAUGGACAGUAAUACAGGAAUCAAAGCAAGCAACUAUUUGGUAUGACUAUAGCUCAUGGCUCAUUAAAGCUCUAUGGAGAAGUGCCUCUGCUGACUGCACUGAACUGCAAGAACUGAACUCAACUGCAGACUUGCUAAACUUAACUCAACCACUUUAACUUACUGUACUAAACUCAACUGACUCCAUUCACUGAAUUGCCCUCUAAAUAGAUGUCUCUUUCCAACAUAGCUGCUUCCUUGUUCAAAUCACCACAUGAAUGAAAACUGUGUCAUUCCAGUGAGAUUACAAAGACCUAGAAGAAGAUGGGAUGUGAUCCCUUUCCAGAGCAGCCAGGUUGCUGGAUUAAAAUACCUCUGUACCAAUAAAACACAAAGAUGGAACGUCUAAGAAAACGUUGAGAACAUGUCCCUGUUUGUGACAGAACUACAAGUUGAGCAUUACAGGAAACAUCACUAGAGCCUCAAGGAAUAUCAAUGAAGGCCUUCAUGGAACUCAGUGUAUGAUCUCAUGGCAGGAUCAUGGAG
rnacentral:lncRNA from 1 species